AAAGCUAGAAGGUUGCCGAGGGUUCUUUGAAAUGAGAGGUAGAUAUAUCGUCUUUCACAGUAUCUACAAUUGAAGGGCAUAGAGCAAAUUUGCAGUAGGCAGCAUCAGAUCUGGACUUCAUGGUCAGCUGUUCAUGUCUGUCAGAAUGAUUUGGUGAAGGUCAUUGCAUUGAAAGGGAGUUGAUGAAAGCCAAUCUUGUCAACUGAGAGGUUGACAAGAGCGGUUAGUUGCCUAAUUUGUCUUCUCUUUUGGACUGAGUCCCAUAUGUUGAUUCAAAUCUUAUUUUUCCUUUCAAAUAUUAACCAUUUAUAAUUUCCUUUUUAUCUUAUUGUAAUUUUUUGCUUUCUUUCCAUACCAUACGUAUUUUGAGGAUGAGAGUGCCAAUGAGAAGUACCAAAACAAGAAGAUAUCAUUUUACCAUUGGCUUGGAGAUGACGAGGCAACUUGAGGGAGCUUCCUUAGAAGAACGUGAUGUCAGAAAACAAUAAUCUCAUACUUUGGUUUCACGAAAAGGAAGCAUAGGAGAGCUUCCUUAACCAUUUGAUCUUCAGAUAUGCAAUUUCAUACCCCAGCUUUUCAAAUUAUUUGGCCACAUUGAACAGAAUUAGAUGGAUGCUCUGUUAGACCUAUAAAAAAUGUGUUGCAUCACCAAGUUUGAAGGGCUGCGGGAGACACACGUGACAUGGCCGUCACCUUCCCAAGGUCUGCACUCCGGCAUUUCCCAAAGCAACACCCAUCAUUUCCACGUGAAAGAUAAGUGAUUCAGUAAUUCAAGAUAACCACUGGGAUAGAAUAGCAGGGGCAUAUCUCUCCAUUGAUGGCACCUUUUGGAACACAUUUAAGCGGGGGUUCCCUUCACCUUUCUCAGUCUUUAUUGUCUGAUCGAGCUUCAUUGUCUCAAGUUAUCAUAGUUUUAACCAAGUUUGUACUCGGAAGUGCAAGGCUUUCCAGACUCAUCUAAAGUCUAACAAACUUCCUAUCUUCAUCUUAUUUUACAUUUUUUGCUUCUCAUAAUUUUAACCUUGA